UAGGGAAUCUUCCACAAUGGACGCAAGUCUGAUGGAGCAACGCCGCGUGAGUGAAGAAGGUUUUCGGACCGUAAAGCUCUGUUGUUGGUGAAGAAGGAUAGAGGUAGUAACUGGCCUUUAUUUGACGGUAAUCAACCAGAAAGUCACGGCUAACUACGUGCCAGCAGCCGCGGUAAUACGUAGGUGGCAAGCGUUGUCCGGAUUUAUUGGGCGUAAAGCGAGCGCAGGCGGAAGAAUAAGUCUGAUGUGAAAGCCCUCGGCUUAACCGAGGAAUUGCA
rnacentral:rRNA from 1 species